UUGAACGCUGGCGGCAUGCCUUACACAUGCAAGUCGAACGGUAGAGGAGCAAUCCUCGAGAGUGGCGAACGGGUGAGUAAUGUAUCGGAACGUGCCCAGUAGUGGGGGAUAGCCCGGCGAAAGCCGGAUUAAUACCGCAUGAUACCUGAGGGUGAAAGCGGGGGACUCGCAAGAGCCUCGCGCUACUGGAGCGGCCGAUAUCAGAUUAGGUAGUUGGUGGGGUAAAGGCCUACCAAGCCUGCGAUCUGUAGCUGGUCUGAGAGGACGACCAGCCACACUGGGACUGAGACACGGCCCAGACUCCUACGGGAGGCAGCAGUGGGGAAUUUUGGACAAUGGGCGAAAGCCUGAUCCAGCCAUGCCGCGUGCGGGAAGAAGGCCUUCGGGUUGUAAACCGCUUUUGUCAGGGAAGAAAUCCUUUGAGCUAAUACCUCGGAGGGAUGACGGUACCUGAAGAAUAAGCACCGGCUAACUACGU
rnacentral:rRNA from 1 species